GAUGAACGCUGGCGGCGUGCUUAACACAUGCAAGUCGAACGGAAAGGCUCCUGCUUGCAGGGGUACUCGAGUGGCGAACGGGUGAGUAACACGUGGGUGAUCUGCCCUGCACUUCGGGAUAAGCCUGGGAAACUGGGUCUAAUACCGGAUAGGACGAUGUUUUGGAUGCCAUUGUGGAAAGUUUUUCGGUGUGGGAUGAGCUCGCGGCCUAUCAGCUUGUUGGUGGGGUAAUGGCCUACCAAGGCGUCGACGGGUAGCCGGCCUGAGAGGGUGUACGGCCACAUUGGGACUGAGAUACGGCCCAGACUCCUACGGGAGGCAGCAGUGGGGAAUAUUGCACAAUGGGCGCAAGCCUGAUGCAGCGACGCCGCGUGGGGGAUGACGGCCUUCGGGUUGUAAACUCCUUUCGCUAGGGACGAAGCGCAAGUGACGGUACCUGGAGAAGAAGCACCGGCUAACUACGUG
rnacentral:rRNA from 1 species